rnacentral:rRNA from 1 species
ACUCCUACGGGAGGCAGCAGUGGGGAAUAUUGCACAAUGGGGGAAACCCUGAUGCAGCCAUGCCGCGUGUGUGAAGAAGGCCUUCGGGUUGUAAAGCACUUUCAGUAGGGAGGAAGGUAGUGUAGUUAACACCUGCAUUAUUUGACGUUACCUACAGAAGAAGCACCGGCUAACUCCGUGCCAGCAGCCGCGGUAAUACGGAGGGUGCGAGCGUUAAUCGGAAUUACUGGGCGUAAAGCGCAUGCAGGCGGCCUGUUAAGUCAGAUGUGAAAGCCCGGGGCUUAACCUCGGAAUUGCAUUUGAAACUGGCAGGCUAGAGUCUUGUAGAGGGGUUAGAAUUUCAGGUGUAGCGGUGAAAUGCGUAGAGAUCUGAAGGAAUACCAGUGGCGAAGGCGGCCCCUGGACAAAGACUGACGCUCAGAUGCGAAAGCGUGGGAGCAAACAGGAUUAGAUA